rnacentral:misc_RNA from 1 species
CUGGCACCGCAAAGAAAGGAAAAGGUACCUCUUUAUUUUCCAAUGCAUAUAUUUACUGGCUUAUUUGGCUUAUUGUAGUUCUACACAUGCAGGCAUGCACAUACACGAAGAAAGGUUUUAAGGGGUAUUUGCUUAGUACUCCAACUUCAAUUUACUUUCAUCUUUUCUACCUAGAAAUCUGACUGAUCUUUGUACAUGAUCUCUUUCUAGCUGCAAAAACUGCAAUGAACUUGUUUAGCCACAUGCCAGAAGCAACAAGUAGGGAGAAGGAAUUGAUGAAAGCA